AACGAACGCUGGCGGCACGCCUAACACAUGCAAGUCGAACGAAGCAUAAGAGCUUGCUCUUAUGACUGAGUGGCGCACGGGUGAGUAACACGUGGGAAUCUGCCUAUUGGUGGGGAAUAACUUUUGGAAACGAAAGCUAAUACCGCAUAAGCCCUAAGGGGGAAAGAUUUAUCGCCAAUAGAUUAGCUCGCGCUAGAUUAGCUAGUUGAUGAGGUAAGAGCUCACCAAGGCUACGAUCUAUAGCUGGUCUGGGAGGAUGGUCAGCCACACUGGGACUGAGACACGGCCCAGACUCCUACGGGAGGCAGCAGUGGGGAAUAUUGGACAAUGGGGAAACCCUGAUCCAGCGAUGCCGCGUGAGUGAAGAAGGCCUUCGGGUUGUAAAGCUCUUUCAGAGGGGAUGAUAAUGACGGUACCCUCAGAAGAAGCACCGGCUAACUUCGUGCCAGCAGCCGCAGUAA
rnacentral:rRNA from 1 species